UACUGUAUAUAACCUCCUCUUAUUUUUUUUUAUAUAUACGUAUAUACAGACCUGACAGUUGCAUCCUGCAGACAAAAACAAGUCAUUUAUCAGAGAGUCACAAACUGCACUUCUAAUAUAAAUAUUUUCUUCUUUUCCAUUAAAAUCAUAGAUGGUGUAAAUCCAAGCAGAACUUCUCCUGAUUUUGUGUCCCACGUUGCCUUCAGUCUGUUGAGAGCAGAGAAAUCAUUUCCAUAGAGAGGAGGCUUUGCAUCAUCAGCUGAUCCUCCAGUGAACUGAGAAGGUUUAUAGUCCUGUGAGUUCAACACUGCAGGACUCAGAUCUGUCAGUCAACACAGCAGAAACCACAACCACCAUGACUCUCAUCACCCUCCUCAUGUGGACGCUGGCCUGCUGCUGUUUCACAGGAUGCAGCGGUCAGGUGACAGUGACUCAGCCUCCAGUAGUGACAUCUACUCCAGGAUCCACUGUCACUCUCACCUGUAAAACCAACCCACUUGUUUGAUAUGCCCUACUCUUAAUUGUCUGCACUGGUAUCAACAGAAGUUUGGACAGACUCCAAAACUCCUAAUAAAAUCUGUUAGCUCACGUGAA